rnacentral:rRNA from 1 species
GAUCAUGCUCAGGAUGAACGCUGGCGGCAUGCCUAAGACAUGCAAGUCGAACGAGACGACCUUCGGAAGACCGAAGUGCUUGCACUGAAGUAAGAAGAAGAUCAUCGUCUAGUGGCAGACGGGUGAGUAACACGUGGGUAACCCUAACCUUCAAGCUGGGGAUAACAGUUGGAAACGACUGAUAAUACCGAAUAAGAUAUAGCAAUAUAUUGAAAGGAGCCUUUAAAGCUCCACUUAAAGAUGGGCCUGCGGCGUAUUAACUAGUUGGUGAGGUAACGGCCCACCAUGGCGACGAUUGGUAGCCGGACUGAGAGGUUGAUCGGCCACAUUGGGACUGAGACACGGCCCAGACUCCUACGGGAGGCAGCAGUGGGGAAUAUUGCACAAUGGGGGAAACCCUGAUGCAGCGACGCCGCGUGGAGGAAGAAGGUCUUCGGAUUGUAAACUCCUGUCGUUGGGGACGAUAAUGACGGUACCCAACAAGAAAGCCACGGCUAACUACGUG